rnacentral:misc_RNA from 1 species
GUGAAUCAUCGAAUUUUUGAACGCAAAUUGCACUUUUUGGUAUUCCGGAAAGUAUGCCUGUUUGAGAGUCAGUGAAAUAAUAAUCGGUGUUGUUGCCGCUAUUUGUGGUUACGGGCCGGAAUUGGGGUGUCUUACCUUUGGUGAAGUGAGUUAAAAUUUUGCAUGAUUUUCGAAUGUAUUUAAAUUUCUUACUGACGUUUGAGGUA